rnacentral:misc_RNA from 1 species
AAGUCGCAACAAGGUUUCCGUGGGUGAACCUGCGGAAGGAUCAUUAACACGUAUCCAACGUUAAAACAACCCCGUGAACUUUCAGCUUGCUCCUGUAGCCCGUGAAAGCAGCAAUCCCUGGUAAAUCAUUUAGAGCUACGGUUGAGCGAUUGCAUCUAGUGACCUGGCAUCCCCAAGUAAUCAGUGUUCUGAAAGUGUCAUUGAUUGUGUAAGGAUGGCGCAGUCACGAUCGCUGUAGGCCCACACGGCCGGCGACCGGGUCACCGGGCUCUGCUCCUUUACGACAACUACAGUCUAACUUCGCCGCGCGUGAAAUUCGCACGGCACCAAAAACCGAACAACUGUUAACAAUGGAUAUCUUGGUUCUC